AGUAACGCGUGAGGAACCUGCCUUGGAGAGGGGAAUAACACUCCGAAAGGAGUGCUAAUACCGCAUGAUGCAGUUGGGUCGCAUGGCUCUGACUGCCAAAGAUUUAUCGCUCUGAGAUGGCCUCGCGUCUGAUUAGCUAGUAGGCGGGGUAACGGCCCACCUAGUCGACGAUCGGUAGCCGGACUGAGAGGUUGAACGGCCACAUUGGGACUGAGACACGGCCCAGACUCCUACGGGAGGCAGCAUG
rnacentral:rRNA from 1 species